UACGGAGGUGGCAGGCGUUACUCGGAUUGAUUGGGUGUAAAGGGUAUGUAGGCGGUGCGCUAAGUCGAAUGUGGAAUCCCUUGGCUUAACCAAGGAACUGCAUUCGAAACUGGCGUGCUUGAGUGGUGGAGAGGAAAGCGGAAUUCCCGGUGUAACAGUGAAAUGUGUAGAUAUCGGGAGGAACACCAGCGGCGAAGGCGGCUUUCUGGACAUCUACUGACGCUGAAAUACGAAAGCAUGGGGAGCAAACAGG
rnacentral:rRNA from 1 species